AACGUAGGAGACGAACGUUAUCCGGAGUUACUGGGCGUAAAGGGCGUGUAGGUGGUAUCGUAAGUCUGGCGUGAAAUUUCUCGGCUUAACCGAGGCAGGUCGUCGGAUACUGCGAGGCUAGAGGACGGUAGAGGCGUGUGGAAUUCCGGGUGUAGUGGUGAAAUGCGUAGAGAUCCGGAGGAACACCAGUGGCGAAGGCGACACGCUGGGCCGUACCUGACACUGAUGCGCGACAGCAUGGGGAGCAAACAGG
rnacentral:rRNA from 1 species